rnacentral:rRNA from 1 species
GACGAACGCUGGCGGCGUGCCUAAUACAUGCAAGUCGAACGCAGUGGGGACGGGUGAGUAACACGUGGGUAACCUCCCAUCAGAGGGGAUAAAACUUGGAAAAAGGUGCUAAACCGAUAUUGAUGGCUGGACCCGCGGUGCAUUAGCUAGUUGGUGAGGUAACGGCUCACAAAGGCCACGAUGCAUAGGCGACCUGAUAGGGUGAUGGGCCACACUGGGACUGAGACACUGCCCAGACGCCUACGUGACGCAGCAGUAGGGAAGCUUCGGCAAUUGACGAAAGUCUGACCGAGCAACGCCGCGUGAGUGAAUAAGGUUUUCGGAUCUUAAAACUCUGUUGUUAGAGAAGCGGUAUCUAACCAGAAAGCCACGGCUAACUACGUGCCAGCAGCCGCGGUAAUUC